rnacentral:rRNA from 1 species
CCUACGGGUGGCUGCAGUGGGGAAUAUUGCGCAAUGGGCGAAAGCCUGACGCAGCGACGCCGCGUGAGGGAUGAAGGUCUUCGGAUCGUAAACCUCUGUCAGCAGGGAAGAAAGGUCACUGUGCUAAUCGGCAGUGAGUUUACGGUACCUGAAAAGGAAGCACAGGCUAACUCCGUGCCAGCAGCCGCGGUAAUACGGAGGGUGCGAGCGUUAAUCGGAAUUACUGGGCGUAAAGCGCUCGUAGGCGGUAUGUCAAGUCAAGGGUGAAAUCCCCGGGCUCAACGUGGGAACCGCCUUCGAAUCUGGCAAACUGGAGUGUGUGAGAGGAUAGUGGAAUUCCCGGUGUAGGAGUGAAAUCCGUAGAUAUCUGGAGGAACAUCAGUGGCGAAGGCGACUAUCUGGCACAUAACUGACGCUGAGGAGCGAAAGCGUGGGUAGCAAACAGGAUUAGAUACCCUGGUAGUC